AACGAACGCUGGCGGCAUGCCUAACACAUGCAAGUCGAACGAUGCCUUCGGGCAUAGUGGCGCACGGGUGCGUAACGCGUGGGAAUCUGCCCUUGGCUUCGGAAUAACAGUUAGAAAUGACUGCUAAUACCGGAUGAUGUCUUCGGACCAAAGAUUUAUCGGCCAGGGAUGAGCCCGCGUAGGAUUAGGUAGUUGGUGGGGUAAAGGCCUACCAAGCCGACGAUCCUUAGCUGGUCUGAGAGGAUGAUCAGCCACACUGGGACUGAGACACGGCCCAGACUCCUACGGGAGGCAGCAGUGGGGAAUAUUGGACAAUGGGCGCAAGCCUGAUCCAGCAAUGCCGCGUGAGUGAUGAAGGCCUUCGGGUCGUAAAGCUCUUUUACCAGGGAUGAUAAUGACAGUACCUGGAGAAUAAGCUCCGGCUAACUCCGUGCCAGCCGCCGCAGUAACAC
rnacentral:rRNA from 1 species